rnacentral:rRNA from 1 species
UACGAAGGGGGCUAGCGUUGCUCGGAUUGACUGGGCGUAAAGGGCGCGUAGGCGGCGGACACAGUCAGACGUGAAAUUCCUGGGCUCAACCUGGGGGCUGCGUUUGAUACAUGUCUGCUUGAGUUCGGAAGAGGGUCGUGGAAUUCCCAGUGUAGAGGUGAAAUUCGUAGAUAUCGGAAGGAACACCAGUGGCGAAAGCGGCUUCCUGGUCCAGCACCGACGUUCAGGCACGAAAGCGUGGGGAGCAAACAGGG